ensembl:snoRNA
UGACCUGGGCAGAGAGGCAUCCGGUUGCUGGUGUCCAUCUCGUAUCAAGGACAGAGCAGCCCCUUGUUCAUCCCAGCUUGGCUUCUGGCCUGUGCCCAACGCCUUAGACAAACAA